UGGCGGCAGGCCUAACACAUGCAAGUCGAGCGGAAACGAGAUAUCUGAACCUUCGGGGAACGAUAUCGGCGUCGAGCGGCGGACGGGUGAGUAAUGCCUAGGAAAUUGCCCUGAUGUGGGGGAUAACCAUUGGAAACGAUGGCUAAUACCGCAUGAUGUCGUUUUCUAUAAACGAAGGUGACCAAAGAGGGGGACCGCAAGGCCUCUCGCGUCAGGAUAUGCCUAGGUGGGAUUAGCUAGUUGGUGAGGUAAGGGCUCACCAAGGCGACGAUCCCUAGCUGGUCUGAGAGGAUGAUCAGCCACACUGGAACUGAGACACGGUCCAGACUCCUACGGGAGGCAGCAGUGGGGAAUAUUGCACAAUGGGCGCAAGCCUGAUGCAGCCAUGCCGCGUGUAUGAAGAAGGCCUUCGGGUUGUAAAGUACUUUCAGUCGUGAGGAAGGCGGAUACGUUAAUAGCGUAUUCGUUGACGUUAGCGAC
rnacentral:rRNA from 1 species